rnacentral:rRNA from 1 species
AACGAACGCUGGCGGCAUGCCUAACACAUGCAAGUCGAACGAAGGCUUCGGCCUUAGUGGCGCACGGGUGCGUAACGCGUGGGAAUCUGCCCUUUGGUUCGGAAUAACAGCUGGAAACGGCUGCUAAUACCGGAUGAUGACGAAAGUCCAAAGAUUUAUCGCCAGAGGAUGAGCCCGCGUUGGAUUAGGUAGUUGGUGGGGUAAAGGCCUACCAAGCCGGCGAUCCAUAGCUGGUCUGAGAGGAUGAUCAGCCACACUGGGACUGAGACACGGCCCAGAUCUUUAGGGGGGGGAGAAGGGGGGAAUAUGGGAAGAGGGGCGAAAGCCUGAAGCAGAAAGGCCGGGUAAGUGAGGAAGGACGGAGGGUUGAAAAGGUAUUUUACCCGGGAAGAAAAUGACGGAACGGGGAAAAAAAGCCCGGGCAAACCCCGG